CGAGGAGCAGGCGCUGUCCAGCCACCGUAUUUCCACUUUCAACACUUCCUUCAGGGUGGGAAAAAGCAAAUGGACGAGUGGUAUCUAACUCAGCAAAGCCAGAAAACCAGAACUUAACUGCGCAGCAGGGGCAACGAGGCUGGGGAAUGAGAAGAGGCGCUCAGAUCUCUGAAGGCCUGAGGGUAAUGGGCACAAAAGAGCAUCCGCUUCA
rnacentral:lncRNA from 1 species